GUAUUUCGUCUGCCGCUACGUUCUGAGUUCAAAUUCCGCCGAGGUCGACUUUGCCUUUCAUCCUUUCGUGGGUCGAUAAAUCAAGUACCAGUUGCAUACUGUGGUCGAUCUAACCGACUGCUCUCCCCCUCCCAAUUUUGGGCCUUGUGAUUGAGUAGGAAAAAGAAAAGAA